rnacentral:rRNA from 1 species
CCUACGGGAGGCAGCAGUAGGGAAUCUUUCACAAUGGGCGAAAGCCUGAUGGAGCAACGCCGCGUGCAGGAUGAAGGCCUUCGGGUUGUAAACUGCUUUUAUAAGCGAGAAAUAUGAUGGUAACUUAUGAAUAAGGAUCGGCUAACUACGUGCCAGCAGCCGCGGUCAUACGUAGGAUCCGAGCAUUAUCCGGAGUGACUGGGUGUAAAGAGUUGCGUAGGUGGCAGGAUAAGUAGCUAGUGAAAUCUGGUGGCUCCACCAUUCAGACUAUUAGCUAAACUGUUAAGCUCGAGACCGUUAGGGGUAACUGGAAUUUCUAGUGUAGGAGUGAAAUCCGUAGAUAUUAGAAGGAACACCAAUAGCGUAGGCAGGUUGCUGGGACGGUUCUGACACUAAGGCACGAAAGCGUAGGGAGCAAACGGGAUUAGAUACCCUUGUAGUC